CCUACGGGUGGCAGCAGUAGGGAAUUUUCCACUGGGCGAAAGCCUGAUGGAGCACCGCCGCGUGGGUGAAGAAGGUCUUUGCAUCGUAUAACCCUGUUGUUAGAGAAGAGAGUGCGUGAGAGUCUCUGUUAACGUUUCGACGGUACCUAACCAGAAAGCCACGGCUAACUACGUGCCAGCAGCCGCGGUAAUACGUUGGUGGCAAGCGUUAUCCGGAUUUAUUGGGCGUAAAGGGAACGCAGGCGGUCUUUUCAGCCUGAUGUGAAAGCCUUCGGCUUAACCGGGGUAGUGCAUUGGAAACUGGGAGACUUGAGUGCAGAAGAGGAGAGUGGAACUCCAGGUGUAGCGGUGAAAUGCGUAGAUAUAUGGAAGAACACCAGUGGCGAAAGCGGCUCUCUGGUCUGUAACUGACGCUGAGGUUCGAAAGCGUGGGUAGCAAACAGGAUUAGAUACCCUGGUAGUC
rnacentral:rRNA from 1 species